UAAGGAAUAUUGGUCGAUGGACGCAAGUCUGAACCAGCCAUGCCGCGUGGAGGAUGAAGGUCCUCUGGAUUGUAAACUUCUUUUAUCUGGGACGAAACACUUCUUUUCUAAGAGGCCUGACGGUACCAGAUGAAUAAGCACCGGCUAACUCCGUGCCAGCAGCCGCGGUAAUACGGAGGGUGCAAGCGUUAUCCGGAUUCACUGGGUUUAAAGGGUGCGUAGGUGGGUAUGUAAGUCAGUGGUGAAAUCCCCGAGCUUAACUUGGGAACUGCCAUUGAUACUAUAUAUCUUGAAUACCGUAGAGNUAAGCGGAAUAUGUCAUGUAGCGGUGAAAUGCUUAGAUAUGACAUGGAACACCAAUUGCGAAGGCAGCUUACUAUGCGGUGAUUGACACUGAGGCACGAAAGCGUGGGUAGCAAACA
rnacentral:rRNA from 1 species